rnacentral:rRNA from 1 species
CCUACGGGUGGCAGCAGUGGGGGAUAUUGGACAAUGGGGGGAACCCUGAUCCAGCGACGCCGCCUGAGUGAAGAAGUAUUUCGGUAUGUAAAGCUCUGUCAGCAGGGAAGAACGUAAUGACGGUACCUGACCAAGAAGCGCCGGCUAACUACGUGCCAGCAGCCGCGUGAAUACGUAGGGGGAAAUCGUUAUCCGGAAUUAUUGGGUGUAAAGGGGGCGUAGACGGUUAAGUAAGUCUGGAGUGAAAGGCCGGGGCUCAACCCCUGGACUGGUCGGGAAACUAGUGAACUUGAGUACAGGAGAGGUAAGCGGAAUUCCUAGUGUAGCGGUGAAAUGCAUAGAUAUCGCGAAGAACUCCGAUUGCGAAGGCAGCAUGCCGGCUCCACACUGACGCUGAGGCACGAAAGCGUGGGUAUCGAACAGGAUUAGAUACCCCUGUAGUC